rnacentral:rRNA from 1 species
GACGAACGCUGCGGCGUGCUUCACCCCUGCCAGUCGAACGGAAAGGCCCUGCUUUUGUGGGGUGCUCGAGUGGCGAACGGGUGAGUAACACGUGAGUUACCUGCCCUUGACUUUGGGAUAACUUCAGGAAACUGGGGCUAAUACCGGAUAGGAGCUCCUGCUGCAUGGUGGGGGUUGGAAAGUUUCGGCGGUUGGGGAUGGACUCGCGGCUUAUCAGCUUGUUGGUGGGGUAGUGGCUUACCAAGGCUUUGACGGGUAGCCGGCCUGAGAGGGGAACAGGCCAAAUUGGGACUGAGAUACGGCCCAGACUCCUACGGGAGGCAGCAGUGGGGAAUAUUGCACAAUGGGCGGAAGCCUGAUGCAGCAACGCCGCGUGCGGGAUGACGGCCUUCGGGUUGUAAACCGCUUUCGCCUGUGACGAAGCGUGAGUGACGGUAAUGGGUAAAGAAGCACCGGCUAACUACGUG